AUACCUUCUCGGCCUUAUGGCUAAGAUCAAGUGUAGUAUCUGUUCUAAUCAGUGUGAAAACUGAUUUCGGGGGGACAACCCCCGAUCAAUUUCACAUUUAUUUCUGGACAUGGUUUGGUGAUCGACAGCUUGCUGCUCGACACCGGACCAGGUUUCCCGGGGCUCACACUCUCCCCCGGCGAAGCCGACCUCGC
rnacentral:snRNA from 1 species